GACGAAGGAUGCAAGCGUUAUCCGGAUUCAUUGGGUUUAAAGGGAGCGUAGGUGGCCUUAUAAGUCAGUGGUGAAAUCUUCGAGCUUAACUCGGUAAUUGCCUUUGAUACUGUAGGGCUUGAGUAUAGUUGCCGUUGGCGGAAUAUGACAUGUAGUGGUGAAAUACAUAGAGAUGUCAUAGAACACCGAUUGCGAAGGCAGCUGACGAAGCUAUAACUGACACUGAGGCUCGAAAGUGCGGGGAUCAAACAGG
rnacentral:rRNA from 1 species